rnacentral:lncRNA from 1 species
GCUAGCCCUGCCCCCCUCACGAACAUCACUAUUGAGAAGGGGUCGAACAUCACUACUGAGAAGGGUACAAACAUUACUAUUGAAAAAGGUACGAACAUCACUAUUGAGAAAACUAUAUUUUCUAAAUGUGAAACUGAAAAUGGAAAUGGGGAAUGUGUCAACGAGAAAACAACCUGACUAAAGAGCAGACAACAGUCGAAGGCUAUCAAUGGGUCUUCAAUGCAGGGAGAAACUCCCGCAACCGGAGGCGUGCUUCAGCUGGUCCCUAAACAAAAAUGUAUACUUGUUCAUUGAUAAUGGACGUCAUACUAAACUCCGAAAUAUACACAAGAAACUAAAAUUAAAAAUCACACAAGACUAACAAAGGCAACAGGCUCCUGACUUGGGACAGGGGGAACAAUGCGGCGGGGAUAAACAUGCUUUUGGAGAUCUCAACCCUCCCCUAUACUGCUAGCCAAUGUAGAAAAAACAUUCACACAACAAUACACGCACAGUAAAAGUCAGUUCAUAAGAAGUUCGAGUUCAGAAGGGCGCUUGAGGGCAAACACACACUCUCUUUUCCCGUUGGUUAAAAUGUAUUAUUACUUCUUUUUUUUUCACUUUUUCGAAGUUCGAUGUCAGAAUAGGUAACAAAAGAAACUAAACAAAAUGACAAUGAUACAUAAAUUAACAAAGGACUACUAGCCGGUAGUAAUUGACAUGCCAGUUCCAGACUUCAUGCAAAUAAUCUGAUUGGAAAAUUAUGUCUCCAUCAUAUGAAUAUCGAGUACAUUCUCUCCCGUUAGGGGUUUAGUAUUUAAUACUAUCAUAAAAUAUAGAAGAACAUAACCCGUAUAUCAUGCCAACAACUGGUAUUAGAAUAAAUGUGUUUAUUUCUCAUGCACAUACCUUUUACGCAUGAUAAGUGAAUCAAUAUUAAAGCCAAAAUAUGCAAUCUUUGAUGACAACAGUAUCGUAACUAGAUCCCUACUUAAUAAUUCUGUUUAAAGGUUUUGUUAGCUUUUGAGGUGACUGUCGACAUUUUUGUGCUUGGUAAAACAUAUUACCAUAAAAAAUUGGAUGUGAAAUACCUGAACGUAUGAGAUGGAUGCAUGUUGAAUUAUAUUUACGAAUGAUGUCCUUGUACCGUGCAAAUAUUGUGUAGUGCGCGGAAUUUAAUAAUGGAAUAAAUUUCAAAUGACAUGUUAUAGUUUGAGGUAAAUAUAUUUUAACUCUUUAAAACCAAAAUUAAUGUCAGAUAGUAACUUUUACACUUUUCUUAUAUCAUAGAAUCGAUCAUUUUGUAUCUGCAACUACUAGAUAGUUCAUAACAAACAUUUCUUCUAUUACAUCCACAUAAGGCAACAUUUACUUUUCUCACUUUUUAAAACAACUUGGGUGUCUUGACAUUUUGCAAAAAUAUACUUUUUUUUGGUUAUUUUUGUUAGCUUGUUUCUUUCUCUUUUGGCUAUUGUUAAUACCUGAUUAUACGUUUGUAUACCCAUACUUUCAAAAAUAAUCUGCAAAUAUUCAUGUUAUUUAUUUCAGUAAAGUAGACCAUGGCAACAUCCAGUACAUUUAUAUGCGGUGUGUGUGAUUCCCAGCAUAUCACCAAGGAUGCAGACCACUGGUGUCCCGAAUGUGAAGAAGGACUUUGUACUAACUGUCUUAUAUAUCAUAAUUCGUCUAAGCUUUCACGAGAACAUGGCAUUAUCUCCAUUGAAAAUCAUAAACAGUUACCACAGUACAUUAAAAGUAUACGUCAGCACUGUCCAGACCAUGAUAGAAAAUACCAACACUAUUGUCCAAGUCACGAAGUCCCAUGUUGUCCAUUCUGUAUGACAACAAGCCAUAGUGAAUGCAAGGGUUUGCAAGUAUUAGAGGAGGUCCUGAAGACAUCGGAAUGAACCAGUCAGUAUGAGGACAUGAAACAGAGUUUAACAGAUAUAUAAAAUAACAUCGAAAGAAUAAAGAUGGACCGCGGAGGAAAUCUUAAGAGUAUUCGGGAACAUCGAAACAAAUUCCAUUGUGAAAUCACACAGAUCCGCCAACAAAUAAAUGAACACUUUGAUAAACUUGAGAAACAAGUUAUUGAAAAUUUGAAAUCAACUAAAGAUAAAGCCAAAUGUCAGAUUGAAAUGUUAUUAAGCAAACUUUCCAACAGCGG